ACAGGUCCUUAGCUGACCUGCUGAAGUUUCCUAGUAGUCUAUUGAUGAUGCUAGUCAAGAAUAUUGCGACUUCUGCCGUCUCCAGUUACCUGUGGCCCGGUGGGAAAUUUAUAUGGUGGAGUGUUUGACCUCACAGGGUGCAUAAAAGCCCUUUGACCUCAAGUGUGUAUGCUGAAAAUUCAGAUCCCAUCUGGACCCGGUGAAUGUGUGACUUGAAAGAAGGCAAAUGAAUGAAGCCUUCCAUGGUCUGGAGCUCCAGCAGAGAAGUGCUGCAGAUCACCUGGGAAGAUCCCAGUGCUGUGUUCAGCCAUCUGUAUGUAUUACAUAAAACAUACAUAUGUCAUGCACUAUUGAAGACAUGGAUAUAAGAUUUCUGAAAACUAAGGUGCUGCAGCUCCAUGAAAAUUCAUCUUUGUGCCACUGAGGCACACAGCAACAGUAAGAACAGCCUUCAGGGAGUGCUUCACCUGGUACUGGGUUUCAAAGAGGCAUUUUUCAGACUGUGGCUUCACAGUUUUUAAGAGCUCUCUGGAAAUAUCUCCCAAUCCCAUGGCUCCACGGAUUGCCAGCUGAAGAUGACCAUUUGUGAAACUGGACUUCAAGCCAAGUCUGUGGCCAAAAUAGACUGCAAAAAUGAUGAAUCACAACUAAAUACUGCUGCACAAUACUACACUUAUGCUGUUCUGCCACUUUUGGGGUUGCAAUCUAACCAUCUGUUAAUUGGCCCCGUCACACAUUGCUAUGGGGUGCUGAGAUUCAUUGCAGGCCUUACAGGAUGAUCGGUGUUUCUGGAGCCAUUCAGGAUGUGGCCCCGCAGCUUUUCAGCUCCUGCUGCUGUUUACAUCAAGCGCACUAAGGCUGGCUCUCCCAGCUGCCACGCUCCAGCUGAUUGCCUCAAACUCAUUGCUAUUUUAUGACCAGCGAUUGUGUCUGAGCAGAAGGAUGUGAGUGCUUCACCUGCCUUCAAGAAAAUCAGCUUGUGCCAAGGAGGACAGGAUUUUUAGGCAUUGUGACUGUCAGUUAACCAAACCUGGAAGCAAAGAGUGAUGCUUUGUGUGGGACGGGACUGAUCCUGCACCCCAGCACUCAACCUUGGCAUUGCUUUCACAGGGAUCAGAAUCAUUCCUGGACGAGCUAAGACCCGCUUAUGUUUAUGUUCCUUUCUAAAACUUUCUAAAACUAAUCUCUCUUUUCUCCACUGCACAUAUAUUCACAUUUGUGCUAAUGAAAGCGGUGGAUUGUUCCAGGGGAUCACAUGGAAAAUAUCUGUGAGCUUUGGCCAUCUCUCUGAAAUACUACAGUCAAUUUGGUGUUUGCUUUGGCGUGUUGCUGUGAAAGAUUGUAGAGUGCUUGUGUUUGUACGCAUACAGGGAAAGAGGGCUCCUGCUCAUUGUGCCUUUGUGAGGCUGCCAGACUGUCUGGCCCCAUCUAUUCUACUGUAAGUGAAAAGAGCCUUGCGAGCACUCGCUGCGUGCUUGGACCAGGCUCUGCUAGGUACUCUGGUUGGAAGUCAUUCUGUCAGCUUGAAAAAUAUCUUUCUGCCUGAAUAGUGUUUACUCGCUGUUGAUACAAGUAACGCGUAAGAUUGCUCGUCAGUGAAGAAAUUUUUCCUUUUUCCCUUUGUUUCUUCCGUGCACUGGGCAGCUUUGCAUACAGUGCAUUUUGGUGGCCCUCCUGUACUAGGAGCAGCCAGCUGCUCCUUGUGAACAAGAGAGGAAUUUCCAUACAGAAGAAUGAGAAGUAAUGUGUGAAAACUGGAGGUACGAUGCAGCCCUGGUUGAAAGAUUUGGACAUUGCCCUUGACAAAGGACAUUCCUCCUGUAGCCUGCUGCCCUCUGAAGUAAGGUAAGACAGAGGCUUUCAGGUGGAAGGCUUUUCUGUCCAAAGUGAGAUUUCUGUGCUCUGUGUAGAGAGAUAAUGUCCAGCUCAAAGCUCCUACAACAACCUUUGAGAAUAUGAGGGAUUACACCAGCAACCCCUCUGUUAAUUUUCUUGUCUGCAAGAAAGCUCACUCUAAAAUUUAAUGAUAUCUAUGAGCUCCUGCUGAAAAGUCAUGGGCCGUGGGACCUGCAUUUGACUAGUAAUUAUAAAGUGCUUUGAUAUAGAACUUGGAAUACGAAUAGCAGUUUGUAGAAUUCAGGUCUUCUCUCCUUUUUCAAGUGACAACAAAUAUUUAUCUCAGAUUUCCUCUUCUGGAAGGAAUAGCUGGAAAACAAAUGUGCACUGAUGGGAAUUGCCAGAUACCUGGACCCAACCUGUAGCCCAGCUAUCCCGGAGUACGGUCUGUAGCUGCACUGAAUAUUUGGAGGAAGAUGCUAAUACUGCUGGAAUGGAUGAUUGCAACUAAACUGCAAACAAACCUGCCCACUGCCUCCCAGAGAGCUCUGUCAGCUUUUGUUUCAAGCAGCAGCUCUGUUAAUUUCAGCAGGGGAGGCACACUAGCUUAUUCUCAAGAAUUAAUAUUUUUUGUUUUCUUUCUACUGUCAAGCUUUGCCAGCCAGUUUUGCUCUACAAAAUCUAUAAGUAGGGAAGAUAGGUGUUUUCUUUUGUACAACGGACAUGAAGGAAUUAAAGGAUUCAAGAUUGUAAAACCUUCAUGAAUAAUUCAGGCUGUUUUUCCAACAAAUAUUCACUCUUCUACAUACACACUGAUGCUGGGCUCAGACAUUUUGCUAUCAGCAACAGAGCCAAACCCCCACGAGCCAAAAGUAAAUACACUUUCAUUCAGUGUCAGCCAUCAAUCUCUUCCCAGCUUUCAGUACAUACUCUUGUCAAUUAGGGGCUUCUGCUUGAGAAAUCUGGCCUGUUAGCUUGCAGUGAAAAUAGAUAGGACCAGGCACAUUAUCUGCACAAAGCUCCCCUGUGAGACUCUGUGCAGCCCAGCCAGCCUUGUUCCUCCUACUGCUGUGCUUCUCGUUGCUUCUGUGAACAAACACUGCUGCACACACUUUGACCAAUGUACGCAGACACUUGGCUUCUCACUGAAGCAGCCAAACUACUUGAGGCAGGAACAGCAGGAACCUUCUCAAGAAAACCAGUCAGUGAGCUUCUCUGUGUCUUGGCUUGAUGGUUUUGGGGGAUAUUAGUGACAUUGUGGAGACUGAAGAGAGCCUAGAAAUUUGCAGUUGACUGGUAGCCUACGUCAGAUUCUCUUAGUCCUGCCAGUGUGAGACCUUUAGGCAAGGAUUUUCCCUGUUGUAACCUUUUAGUUUUUUGGCUGGGGGAUUUUGCCUAACAUUUGGAAAUACUGAAAGUAAACUCUAAGAGGGCUUGGUUCAUCAAGAAAGAACCUUAGCAAAGCUUUGCCUGGUACAAAUGGAUCAAUCCCCCAGCUCAAGGGCUGUUUCAUUCUCUGUGCCUCAAAGCAUUGACCACCCUAGCACCAAAAACCAGCAGGGUGAGGAAGGACCAGCAGGCCCCUGGAUUUCACUAGUGCCAGGAUUAAAUGUUUGUUUCCACUUCUCAAACCACCAUGUCUGAGGGUUCAAAACACCACUGUGCCUGCUUGCCUCCCCCCUGCCAGGGCAUGGGCACCUACUUCUGUGAAACCUGUCGGAGGUAAGCUGCUGCUGAGAGCUACACAGCACCAAGUGCAGCCCUGUGAAUUUGAGAAGAUAAAUGAAUCCGGAGGAAGAGGCUUUUGCUAUUUCAAUGGGAAAGUGA